UACGUAAGGGGCAAGCGUUGUCCGGAUUUAUUGGGCGUAAAGAGCGUGUAGGCGGCCAUACAGGUCCGUUGUGAAAACUGGAGGCUUAACCUCCAGACGUCGAUGGAAACCGUAUGGCUAGAGUCCGGAAGAGGAGAGUGGAAUUCCUGGUGUAGCGGUGAAAUGCGCAGAUAUCAGGAAGAACACCCGUGGCGAAGGCGGCUCUCUGGGACGGUACUGACGCUGAGGCGCGAAAGCGUGGGGAGCAAACAGG
rnacentral:rRNA from 1 species